rnacentral:lncRNA from 1 species
AAGCUCACACAACCUCCCACCAUUGAUGGCAAGGAAUAUGUUCCUGAACCUCUAUUUGCUGAAGAAAAAGCCAAAAUCUGGCGUUCUCAGGUAUUAAUCCUUUUCUCCCUAUCUGAUAAACCUCUAGCAUUCUUAGGCCCACUCCCAGAGAAUCGUCAACCUGAGAUAACAGAAAAAUUCCUUUUUUUCCCACCAGUCAUCUUUUU